rnacentral:lncRNA from 1 species
GGCAGAGACCUAGGUAGAGGGAGAAGCAGGCUCCCUGCGGGGAGCCCUAUGCGCACUGGAUGCCAGACCCCGGGAUCACGCCCGGAGCCCAAGGCAGCCGCUCAACCACUGAGCCCCCCAGCGUCACAUUAUCACGAAUUUAGAAUAUGCGUUAGAAGGCGUGCUUUGCGCACUGUGACGGACUGCAUAUUGCUGCUGUGAUUCUUUAGGGUAAGAAGCCCCAGGUGCCCAGCAUCCAGAGCAGACCGGCUCGGCUCCACCGCAGGCACGCAGGGGCUGGGAUUCCCUCCCGCGAGCGGCAGCGACGUCACGGGCAGCUCCUCGGCGGCGGGGGCUGGAGCGCGGGAGGCGGCGGGCGCGCCGGGAGGGGCGUCGCUGGGAAUUUCCAGGGAAACACUGCAGCAGAUGGCCUGCCUGGCUGAGCUUCAGUGACACAUCUGCAGCACGGCUGGUGGGAAGGAUAUUUUCGGAAAAUCUAUGCUCUCUCAGGGACAGUAUGUGAAGGAUCCCAAGCCACUCACCAAUGCUACACCCUGCGUGCCCCCCCCCCCCCCGCCCCAACGGCACCCCCUGCGCUUUCUUUCUGCCAGUUACAUUAUGCAGGCUGUCAAGGUGGCCUGUGGAAUACAAGGGCAAAUGUUGCUAAGAUGGUUUAUCUGUGAAUGA